ensembl:lncRNA
GCUAGGGAUUGCCUGCUGACCACCCAGUUCGAGCCCACAGCCCUGCCACCUGCUGUGUUCAUCAGUUGCUGUGUGAAUCGCUGUGCUGGCUAGACCAUCCUGUGACUGUUGUAAAAGGGACAUUCCGAUCAUAUGUGAUACAUGCUCUUUGAACGGUAUGUAACCUCUCUGCACAGCCCCACUUCCCUGGAGCGCUUCAUUCCUUUGUGAAAGGACUCUCCCAGGCUGUAUGGUCUGCAGAUCUGGCUCAUAAAAAACUCACCCCAAUUUUGGUUUAUGGAUUGUUAUGGAUUAUUCGCAUCGACGUGUCCAAUCCUGAGAGAGAGAGAGAGUCUGUUUCCACACAGACCUUUCAAACACCGUCCUUCGGAGAGCUGUGGCUAGUAACAGUAUUUAACAAACAUUGAGAGAACAUGAUGUGUUGUACUAUUCAGGCUUUGAGUCGUAAAGAAGGGAGCUCCCAAGCUAAUGGGGGAGACAUGAAUUCUGCCCUCAGAAAGCCUUCCACUGUGGGAGAUGGAGCCCACGGAUGAAGAGUGCCACAGAAAGAGACGAGCCUAUGAGUACCAUGCAGAUUCUUCUUGGGAUAAUAGAAGACGCUCUCCAGGACUGGAUCAUCUUAUGACAAGGAGAGCAUUGUGGAAGAAAAUCCACGAGAGCGAGCGCCGUUAGCAUAAACCUUUAUUCCUUUGGAAUCUGGGGAAGGAGAGUGAAAGGUCUUAGAGGGCAUUAGCAGGAGGGGGCAGCAGAAGUUCAGCUAGCUUCGGGAAUAGUGAGUCAAGAAUGGUUCUCAGGUUAACAGCCAUUGUCUGGGCCAUGUGGAUUUUGUCCAGAGGCGUAGAGAGAAACAGUUAGGGGCUUGUGAUGCUGUGACUUAGAGUGAGAAAUUUAUGUUUAACCUUGACCUGACCCACUCCUAAAACCCUCGGAACUUCCUAAGAGAUGAAAAUUGAUGAGGAUUUUUAGGCUGCUUAAUUUUAAAAUGGUUUAUGAUGAGGAUUUUUAGGCUGGUUAGUUUUAAAACUACAGAUGAGAUUCAGGCUCCAAGGAGUGGAAUCUGUUUGCCCCUUUGUUGGGAAACAUUUACAUUUCUAAGGGAAACCUCUAUCUGUGAAGAUGCCUCCCUCUCUGUGCCAGGAAGAAGGGGGAAUGGUCUUAUCUCUAGAAGCUCUUAAUGGGGAAGGCAAGAACUUAAGUUGGUUGCUGUCUGGCAAUCUCAUGUAACUGGUUUAGGGUGGUGGCGUCUAACCUUUCUAACCUUUACUUAAUCCGAUUUGAUUCUUGUCUAAAAGUCAUGGGAUCACCCAAUGACCAGACCCCACCUGCACUGAUACCAUUUUAAGUUUUUUCCAUGUUCUUUCCUUUGUCUUGGUAAAGAGAUGACUUACAUACCCAUGCCUUAUAAAAUUAGCCCUAACCCUCAACUCGGGGCAGCAGCAGGAGCUCUGACUGCCCGUGGGUCUUGUCCCCACGCACCAGCUCUGCCUGCCCAUGGGUCCUGUCCCCAUGCCAGCGGGGGCAGCAGCAGCGGCUCUGCCUGCCCAUGGGUCCUGUCCCCAUGCCAGCGGGGGCAGCAGAAGCGGCGGCAGCAGAAGCUCUGACUGCCCAUGGGUCCUGUCCCCAUGCUAUUCUAUACUAUUCUCUAAAUAAAACAGCACUACUGCCAGAUCUUGAAAGUCUAAGAAAUCUUUCUUUCCACUCCUUGGCUCACCGACCCCGCAUCAAAAAUGAUAAGUGUCUUCUGUUGUGUUAAUGAGGUGACUUUGGGAAUGCCCCCAGGUCACCUGAGGAUGGGUCUGGUUGCCUGGGACCCAACCUUGUGAUUAGAGAGCUGGAACUUUCCAU